UGAUGGCUGUUCCUCUCCUACCAUGAAGAUAUUGGCAAGGGAUUUUAGGCUAUCAUAAAUUAAUGAAAAUUAUUCACCCAUGCUAGUAAGGUUUGCUAAUCUUGAUAACUAUCAUGGUUUUGCAAUUUUCAACAUUC
rnacentral:snoRNA from 1 species